GAAUAUAAAGAAUACGUCCAACAGAAAGUACCCAAAAGCCAUGGAAAAGAAAAGCUAAAUGCAUAUGCUCAGAGAAAAAGACCUUAGCUGACUCACUGUGAACCUUAAUUAUACAUCUCCUGAGCAGCUUGGAGAGAGCUGGGCAAAAGCUGCUGUCGAGGUUUGACUUUCAUCUGAAUCUAUUACUCAAUGUGGUUUUCCAUGGCUGGAUGAAGGGGAGAGCAUUCCACUCUUGGGAAUUUCUGUAUGUGUGUGGAAGAUUAAAACACCUCUUACUUGAUAUAAGGUGCUUUGAAGACCUGUGCCAGGAGAUACUUCUGGU